UACGUAGGGGGCAAGCGUUGUCCGGAUUUAUUGGGCGUAAAGAGCGUGUAGGCGGCUUGGUAGGUCUGCUGUGAAAACUCGAGGCUCAACCUCGAGCUGUCGGCGGAAACCACUUGGCUAGAGUCCGGAAGAGGAGAGUGGAAUUCCUGGUGUAGCGGUGAAAUGCGCAGAUAUCCCCAAGAACACCAGUUGCGAAGGCGGCCGUCUGGACACAUAUUGACGCUGAGGCUCGAAAGCAUGGGGAGCAAACAGG
rnacentral:rRNA from 1 species